rnacentral:ncRNA from 1 species
AAUAAUUAAAUAGACUAGAGUAGUAAAAGAAUAUGUUUUUUCAGAGAGCUAGUGGUAGGUGAAAACUAGUAAAAUAUACCUUUGAACUUGCUAGAAGUAUCUAUUUAGCCGUAGUUGGCAUAAAAACUAUCUAAGAGAGUCUAUUUAUAGACUAAUUAGGGUGGUACCGCGAAAAUAUAUCCUCGUCCCUAAA